UACGGGGGGGGCAAGCGUUGUUCGGAAUUACUGGGCGUAAAGGGGACGUAGGCGGCCAACUAAGUCCGACGUGAAAUCCCCAGGCUCAACUUGGGAACUGCGUCUGAUACUGGAUGGCUUGAAUUCGGGAGAGGGAUGCAGAAUUCCAGGUGUAGCGGUGAAAUGCGUAGAUAUCUGGAGGAAUACCGGUGGCGAAGGCGGCAUCCUGGACCGAGAUUGACACUGAUGAGCGAAAGCUAGGGGAGCAAACGGG
rnacentral:rRNA from 1 species